rfam:Octopus bimaculoides Scaffold257305_contig_1, whole genome shotgun sequence.
AUCCCGGCCCUUUUCAGGGCCAUUCAUAUCUUAAUGUAAGCCACCU